rnacentral:rRNA from 1 species
GAUGAACGCUGGCGGCGUGCCUAAUACAUGCAAGUCGAGCGAACGUACGAGAAGCUUGCUUUUCUGAUGUUAGCGGCGGACGGGUGAGUAACACGUGGAUAACCUACCUAUAAGACUGGGAUAACUUCGGGAAACCGGAGCUAAUACCGGAUAAUAUUUUGAACCGCAUGGUUCAAAAGUGAAAGACGGUCUUGCUGUCACUUAUAGAUGGAUCCGCGCUGCAUUAGCUAGUUGGUAAGGUAACGGCUUACCAAGGCAACGAUGCAUAGCCGACCUGAGAGGGUGAUCGGCCACACUGGAACUGAGACACGGUCCAUACUCCUACGGGAGGCAGCAGUAGGGAAUCUUCCGCAAAGGGCGAAAGCCUGACGGAGCAACGCCGCGUGAGUGAUGAAGGUCUUCGGAUCGUAAAACUCUGUUAUUAGGGAAGAACAUAUGUGUAAGUAACUGUGCACAUCUUGACGGUACCUAAUCAGAAAGCCACGGCUAACUACGUG